CCAGAGGCCUCCACCAGCCUCAAAGCAAAUCAUCUUUUAAUUCUGAAACACCAAAUAUUUAAUUUAUGCUUUACCUCAAAUGUCAAGUGUACCUCCCGGCACAUAGCUUUGAAACCACGUAAGGAGGCCUAACGCUUUCCAUAUGGUGAAGACAUGGGGCCUUUUAAUUGUGCCAACUGGUAUCAUUCAAGGGUAAUUCCCCUGGAAUCCGGCAACUCGGGCAGCAGCUGGGCCAGGAGCCAGCCUCCAACCCCAUCACCCAUCCGCACACGUCCCCGCGGGCUCCAGCCCGGCCUGCACCCUCCCAAUCGUCCCCCAAUAUCAAAAUGCGCUAGGUGCCCCCUAAUCAAAUUACCAGCCUUCCUGGCAGCCACCUUCGAUCCAGAGGCAGGCCGACCGGCACCACGGCUCUCAGCCGGUGUCUUCAGGCAGUUUUGCCAUAAAAGAACAAAAGGGCCAAAUGGGGGGCGGGUGGGGGCAGGUGGGGAGGGGACCGCCUUAAAUCUGGGCAUCCACACUCACGUAUGCUCUCGCACAUACACGCCGCGGGAGCAGAUUCUGCUUUUCCAGGUGUUUUCCUAUCAGGCUCUCUGGGUCCAUUAAGCUGUUCCUUCCACCUACCGAGCUUUUUUACUUCGCUCAUUAUAUUAUAUUACAUUUUCCAGACCCAGUAGUUCCAAUUGGUUCUCUUUUGUAACUGCCUGUUGUAGCUUCACGUUUCACUAUCCUUCUUUAUCUCUUUGAGGUUAUGCUUAUGUAAAUUUCUAAUUGGUUAGCACAUUGUUGUCUGGCAUAUAAACUGUUCGCUUUGUUGUUCUUCACUCGUAACGUGGACACCUCCCAUUUCUCAUCGCUUUUCUCCUCUGAGCUCCAGUUUCCUUGAAGUUUGUCAUGUCCCCCCGGAAAGAGCGGAAGCCCCGGCCUUAGCCUGUGUCCCUCCAAGUGCUUCUAUACGGUAUGGCCGGGCAGGGGAGGUGGGAAACCUCUGGAUUUGUAAUCUGGGCUCCCGUCUCCACCCCCACCAGUGCCUCAGCAAACCUCCCGGUACCUUUCUGCCUUUUGAGCUCUUUGAGGAGUCAUCUGCCAUAACCCUGCCAGGGAUAGGAAUGUUAUUAUACCCAUUUUGCAGAUGAGCUUAGGUAAAAUGGCUUAUACAAGGUGACCAGCUCUGGUGGCAGAGCCUGACCUCAUUUAUUUUUGUAUUCGGGAGGUCAGGCUUAGGUUGGUGCCAGCAAGGUCACCCUCUCACAUCCCAGGACCUUGCAUGCAACCGGGACCCACCCUAAACAUUUACUAAGCUACUCAGACCCGGUCAGGGAGGAAGACGGCAAGCAGGGGCCCCUUCCGCCUGCCCCACAGCCUGCCUCUUCCCAAAGUACUCAGCAGCGGGUCAGCAUGCCAUCUCUCUGGACAUGAAGCGUGGCGCCCUCGGGGCAGAUGGUCCAGCACAGGGCUUUACCACACGUGGCCUUUGUGGUCUAGACAGUGCUCCAGAAAGGGAGAAAGAGUUCACACAAGCUGGCUGGCAACUUUAUAGGGUUAUAAGGAGGAGUAAGAUAAUGUAAGCAAAGUACUUGACAUACACGUGGCACUUAAUAAUUAGUUCUCAUCGCAAUAAUAAUAAUGCUACUUGGAUGAACUACUAAUAUGUUUCCAGCCACUCUGGUGAAAGGCCAUGUGAAGGAGUGAAGACAGAGGCCACCACCAAGCCGGGCCUGGAGCUGGUGGGGGGACCUCUGACAGCCCCUGGAAUCCGGCAGACUCUGGAGCCCACACCCUACCUCCCGCUGCGCUAAUGGAAGAACCCUUUCUGUGCCACUGGGAAUCAUGGGAGUUAAACUGGACAGAAGGUUGCUCACUGCUGUCUUACUUACCAUUUCUCGGUGUUUCCCAAACUCUGAGCAUCCUGUUUCCACAGUCACGACUUUGACCACUUGUACUUAAUAUUUUUCCCGGAAUCAACUU
rnacentral:lncRNA from 1 species